AAACCAACAGGGAUUGCCCCAGUAGCGGCGAGUGAAGCGGCAAGAGCUCAGAUUUGAAAUCGUGUUUCGGCACGAGUUGUAGAGUGUAGGCGGGAGUGUCUGCGGCGGGCAGUGUCCAAGUCCCUUGGAACAGGGCGCCACUGAGGGUGAGAGCCCCGUGGGAUGCUGCGCAAAGCUUUGAGACCCUGCUGACGAGUCGAGUUGUUUGGGAAUGCAGCUCCAAGCGGGUGGUAAAUUCCAUCUAAGGCUAAAUACUGGCGAGAGACCGAUAGCGAACAAGUACUGUGAAGGAAAGAUGAAAAGCACUUUGAAAAGAGAGUGAAACAGCACGUGAAAUUGUUGAAAGGGAAGGGUAUUGGGCCCGACAUGGGGAGUGCGCACCGUUGCCUCUUGUAGGCGGCGCUCUGGGCGCUCUCUGGGCCAGCAUCGGUUCUUGCUGCAGGAGAAGGGGUGCCGGAACGUGGCUCUUCGGAGUGUUACAGCCGGGGCCAGAUGCUGCGUGCGGGGACCGAGGGCUGCGACAUAUGUCUCGGAUGCUGGCACAACGGCGCAAUACCGC
rnacentral:rRNA from 1 species